GACAUCCUUCCUCGCCGACUUGCUUUCUUCUUCUCCUCUUAUCUCGCCGACUCCUCUGCAUACUUAUUCUCGUUCGCGAACGCUUUCUCGCUGACUUUCUGCUAUUAUCUCGCCGAUUGUAUCUCACCGGCUUGGUCAAUCUCGCCGACUUCGUCUGUUGCUCUCUCUCAAAAGGAUGUCAAAUAGAGGGACAAAAGAUAUUAGUUCUAGUAAAGGAAGAUCAAGGGGGAGAGGUCGAAGUAGAUGGCAAUCUCUUAGAAUACAAGAUGAGCAACAUGAUACAAUGCCUGAACUUGACAACAUACCAAAUGAAGUAUAGGUAAGAAAAGAGAAAAUAAACUCAUCGAGGAAAGUAGACAAAGGGAAGAAAAACUUAUGGAGGAAGGUAGACAAAGAGAAGAAAAUCUUAAGGAGAUGGUUCGUAAGAUGAUUCAAGAGGCGGGAUAUACAAAUCAUUUGUAUCAAGGAGGAUCUGGUCCUCGUGAGCGUCGUGAUAAACGAAAUAAAAAUUAGAUUUAUUUAGAUACUAUGAAUAUUUAGAUGAUGUGAUAUUUUUGAAUUAAACAUUAAUUAUUUCAAAUAUUUUUAUUUAUUUGAAA